rnacentral:lncRNA from 13 species
CCUGGAUCUUGGUCUUUUCUCUUAAGCUCUUCAACUGAUUGGAUGAGGCCCAAGCUAUAUUAUGGAAGCUAAUCUGUUUUGAAGUCUACAGAUUCAAAAGAGAAUGAAUUAAGACACAGAAAAGAACAGAGGGAAGAUCAUGUGAAAACCUGGAGAGAGAAUGUCCAUCUACACAUCAAGGAGAGAGGACUCAGAAGAAACCAAGCCUGUCAGCUUCUUGAACCUGGCCUUCUAGAUGGUGAGCAGUCUCAUUACUGCAGAAAACACAUUCCAGGGUCUGUCAGCGUUCCUGUGAAUAUCCUAACCAGCUUAACCAUCAGGUUUUAAGCUUGCUGAAGACAGGCAACCUUAUACAUGCUUUCACUGAUCUCUCUCUUCAUCAUACGAAGUUCAUUUGAUGCAAGGUAAGUGAUCAGUAAAUAUUUUCCAAUAACUGGAUCGAUAAAUAUAGUUUUCUUUCUUGAAGUGCAUAUUUAGAGUUUUAAAAAUAGUUUUUUAAUCAAGAAAAUUCAU